ACACUCAUACCGGAUCAGGGCGCCCGACAGGGCUUGAUAGGGAAGAGGGGUGCGACUCCCCCGCGGACCCGCCGCUGUAAGCGAUGACAAGGGGCAACGGCCACUGGUUUUUGACUGGGAAGGCGCCCGGAGGAUGAAUCGCGAGCCAGAAGACCUGCCACUGAUCCACGCCACUC
rnacentral:ncRNA from 2 species